UUAAAAUACCCCGUGGAGUCGCCGCUCACCUCAUUCAUACAAUCAAAGAGCUCCCUGGACACUGAACCUCUAAAGGGAAACAGUCUCUCCUGGAGCAUAAGCAUUGGGGUUUGCUCGGGAGCAUAGUAUAGGUGAGCAAGGGACUGGGCCAGGCCCCAGCAGCACUGCUAUUUUGGAGGAACCACUUCACCUUUGUAUUAGUUAUUAAAAAUACAAUUCAGAUUCUUUGGUCAGGUUCCCCCAAAUUCUUCUGAGGUGUCCAUGUUCAACUGCUUGAGCUUUGUUUUGGCAACCCCCUACCCGAAGUUGCUUAUAGGCUGUUCUUCACCUUGUUUCCAAGGCUGCAGAGCAGAAAGUAGCCUCUGUUUUGAGGAGGUGGAGUUAAGUAUACAUUUAUUUUUUACUGUGACUUGUUCAGGACCACAUUUUACAAAAUGCCUUGUUUCCUUUAUUGUUUCUGGAAAGGAAAGUUCUAUUAAAAUUGUUUUAGUUUGAACAUAGAAUAGUUUUUUUAAUUAUGGCUUAUUUUGAAAAUUUUUGAGUUUAAUUCAAAUGUAUGCCAAUACCUUCCAAAGUAAGGUAAUAUUCAGAGACAGUUGUUCUGAUCAGAUGGCUUAGAGAAAUUUCUGGAAUAUUCACAUUCGAAGAUUCCUUAUUAAUGAAUGUCUGACUUAAAUCUAACCAAAAACUGCAACAUUAUUCUUUGUACAUUUUCAUUAUAUAGUGUUAACAAGCUUAGUU
rnacentral:lncRNA from 1 species